rnacentral:tRNA from 1 species
UAACUUGAAGCUAUUUAGCUUCUAACUGUUAAUUAGAUUAUAGUCGGUUAUAAAUUUCGACCAAGUUAG